rnacentral:rRNA from 1 species
AGCGAACGCUGGCGGUAUGCUUAACACAUGCAAGUCGAGCGCGAAAGUGACUUCGGUCAUGAGUAGAGCGGCGGACGGGUGAGUAACACGUGGAUAAUCUGCCUUUAGGACUGGGAUAACCCUGGGAAACUAGGGCUAAUACCGGAUAAGACCACAGGUUCCAUGGAACCAGGGGUAAAGGCGGCCUUCGGGCUGUCGCCGAAAGAUGAGUCCGCGUCCCAUCAGGUAGUUGGUGAGGAACGGCUCACCAAGCCGAAGACGGGUAGCCGACCUUAGCGGGUGAUCGGCCACACGGGGACUGAGACAC